rnacentral:rRNA from 1 species
AUUGAACGCUGGCGGCAUGCUUUACACAUGCAAGUCGAACGGCAGCGCGGGCUUUGGCCUGGCGGCGAGUGGCGAACGGGUGAGUAAUGCAUCGGAACGUGCCCAGUAGUGGGGGAUAGCCCGGCGAAAGCCGGAUUAAUACCGCAUACGACCUGAGGGUGAAAGCGGGGGACCGAAAGGCCUCGCGCUAUUGGAGCGGCCGAUGUCGGAUUAGCUAGUUGGUGGGGUAAAGGCUUACCAAGGCGACGAUCCGUAGCUGGUCUGAGAGGACGACCAGCCACACUGGGACUGAGACACGGCACAGACUCCUACGGGAGGCAGCAGUGGGGAAUUUUGGACGAUGGGGGCGACCCUGAUCCAGCCAUGCCGCGUGCGGGAAGAAGGACUUCGGGUUGUAAACCGCUUUUGUUCGGGAAGAAAUCCUCUGGGCUAAUACCCCGGGGGGAUGACGGUACCGGAAGAAUAAGCACCGGCUAACUACGUG